UACGUAGGGAGCAAGCGUUGUCCGGAAUCAUUGGGCGUAAAGCGCGCGUAGGUGGCCCCAUAAGUCCGCUGUGAAAGUCAAAGGCUCAACCUUUGAAAGCCGGUGGAUACAUGUGGGACUAGAGUACGGGAAGAGGCGAGUGGAAUUCCUGGUGUAGCGGUGGAAUGCGCAGAUAUAGGAAGAACACCGGUGGCGAAGGCGGGUCUCUGGGCCGAUGAACUGACGCUGAGGUGCGAAAGCGUGGG
rnacentral:rRNA from 1 species